rnacentral:rRNA from 1 species
GUCGAGCGAACGGACGAGAAGCUUGCUUCUCUGAUGUUAGCGGCGGACGGGUGAGUAACACGUGGAUAACCUACCUAUAAGACUGGGAUAACUUCGGGAAACCGGAGCUAAUACCGGAUAAUAUUUUGAACCGCAUGGUUCAAAAGUGAAAGACGGUCUUGCUGUCACUUAUAGAUGGAUCCGCGCUGCAUUAGCUAGUUGGUAAGGUGACGGCUUACCAAGGCAACGAUGCAUAGCCGACCUGAGAGGGUGAUCGGCCACACUGGAACUGAGACACGGUCCAGACUCCUACGGGAGGCAGCAGUAGGGAAUCUUCCGCAAUGGGCGAAAGCCUGACGGAGCAACGCCGCGUGAGUGAUGAAGGUCUUCGGAUCGUAAAACUCUGUUAUUAGGGAAGAACAUAUGUGUAAGUAACUGUGCACAUCUUGACGGUACCUAAUCAGAAAGCCAUGGCUAACUACGUGCCAGCAGCCGCGGUAAUACGUAGGUGGCAAGCGUUAUCCGGAAUUAUUGGGCGUAAAGCGCGCGUAGGCGGUUUUUUAAGUCUGAUGUGAAAGCCCACGGCUCAACCGUGGAGGGUCAUUGGAAACUGGAAAACUUGAGUGCAGAAGAGGAAAGUGGAAUUCCAUGUGUAGCGGUGA